UGAGGUCAUGAGCAUGCUGAAUCAGUCCACAUGGCAGAGGAGCUAUCCCUAAAUUUUCCUUGCUUAUUUCCUCAACCUUUGUUAUAUCCAAACAAUACUUUAUCACUUUUAGGAACAUCUGAAACUUUAUGAUAUAGUGCAAAAAGGAGCAAUGCAGAGCUACCAGCAAGAAAUGAGUACUUCAAAAGGAGAAUUUUUUAACUGUAAAGCCAGAGAAGAAACAUCCGAUGGCUUCAGCAGCUGAGGUGAGAAGACAGUGAGGUUGUGCCACGAGCAGCCAGCAUACUCCGAGCUCCUCAACCCAGUUCUACCCAACAUAUUGAAGUCCCAGUUCAGUCAAUGAGGUGUAUAAGAAUACGCUGGAUUAUUACUGAUGAUGGUAAAAGUUUACUAACCAGCUGCAUCUGGAAUCACAGAGUGGAAGAGAAGCUAUGGCACAGACUGGAGAUGGAGGAGUGCCUCAUAACAGAUUUCUGCAAGAAAAUCCCUGAAACCUCCAGCUUCAUCUCAGAACAAUAGGCUUCCUUCUCAUAUAACCAUUGUGUAUUGGAGACAUGACUGUGGCAUGCUCUGGGGCUCCAGAGGCACUGGAGUUCAGACCUCUACAACAUGAUAUGAUUCCAGAAAUCUCAUGUAUUGUACUAUAAAAAAUCAAUUUCUAAAAAAUGCAUUUAACUUCUUUAGCUUUCAAAUUCAGGCAUUUGGAAAUGUGGAUAUCAUAUAAAUAAUGGCUGCAGUAUUUCAAUUUUUUGCUUUUAUGCAUAUUUUUUACAAUAAAGUAAUUAAC
rnacentral:lncRNA from 7 species